AUACGGAGGGUGCAAGCGUUAUCCGGAAUCAUUGGGUUUAAAGGGUCCGUAGGCGGGCAAUUAGGUCAGAGGUGAAAUCCCACAGCUCAACUGUGGAGCUGCCUUUGAUACUGGUUGUCUUGAGUUAUAGUGAAGUAGAUAGAAUGUGUAGUGUAGCGGUGAAAUGCAUAGAUAUUACACAGAAUACCGAUUGCGAAGGCAGUCUACUAACUGUUGACUGACGCUAAUGGACAAAAGCGUGGGGAGCGAACAGGAUUAGAAACCCGAGUAGUCC
rnacentral:rRNA from 1 species